GACGUAGGGGGCGAGCGUUGUCCGGAUUUAUUGGGCGUAAAGCGCGCGUAGGCGGCCGCGCAAGUCGGAUGUGAAAACCCGGGGCUCAACCCCGGACGUGCAUUCGAUACUGCGUGGCUCGAGACAGGUAGGGGAGAUCGGAAUUCCUGGUGUAGCGGUGAAAUGCGCAGAUAUCAGGAGGAACACCGGUGGCGAAGGCGGAUCUCUGGGCCUGUUCUGACGCUGAGGCGCGAAAGCUAGGGGAGCGAACAGG
rnacentral:rRNA from 1 species